CGGACUUGAUGAAGACCUCCUAAAACCCUAACCCUAAAAACCUCCUAAAACCUCUAUAAAUAUCCCCCACUAGACUUCGGUUCACAGAUCCAGGUCUCUCAGAUGAUGAUGGCGCCGAGCUUGCCUAGUUACGGUGUUUUCUUCCUAUACCUUCUCUUCUCGUGGCCUCGAUCUGAGCCUGGGACGAACAAUCGAAGGCGUCCUGAUGAAGAAGACGAGCAACUGCAUGGUAAAGUAGAUUUGUCGCAAGUGUAAAACGGAGAACGCACAUGGAAAGGAGUUGCAGAAGAGCAGUGAUGUUUCGUCUCAAAACAAUGUUAUUAACAACGUCUUUGAGAGAAGCAGUUUUGCCAAACGAUUAAAAUUUAUUUAUUUUUCAGUUGUAAGAUGAAAAAUGCCUUAGAAACGCCCAACCAAACCAAGCCUAAGUGUUAGGCGAUUAGCAUGAUCCUUUUCAUAAAAAAUGAAUGAUGUUAGGAUACACACUUUAA